AGUGAACGCUGGCGGCAGGCCUAACGCAUGCAAGUCGAACGGUAGCACAGAGGAGCUUGCUCCUUGGGUGACGAGUGGCGGACGGGUGAGGAAUACAUCGGAAUCUACCCUGUCGUGGGGGAUAACGUAGGGAAACUUACGCUAAUACCGCAUACGAACUGAGGUUGAAAGCAGGGGACCGCAAGGCCUUGCGCGAUUGGAUGAGCCGAUGUCCGAUUAGCUAGCUGGUAAGGUAAAGGCUUACCAAGGCGACGAUCGGUAGCUGGUCUGAGAGGAUGAUCAGCCACACUGGAACUGAGACACGGUCCAGACUCCUACGGGAGGCAGCAGUGGGGAAUAUUGGACAAUGGGCGCAAGCCUGAUCCAGCCAUGCCGCGUGUGUGAAGAAGGCCUUCGGGUUGUAAAGCACUUUUGUUGGGAAAGAAAAGCGGUCGGUUAAUACCCGGUCGUACUGACGGUACCCAAAGAAUAAGCACCGGCUAACUUCGUGCCAGCAGCCGCAGUAAGAC
rnacentral:rRNA from 1 species